rnacentral:rRNA from 1 species
CUCCUACGGGAGGCCGCAGGGGGGAAUUGUUCACAAAGGGCGCACGCGGGAUGACACCACGCCGCGGGGAGGAAGAAUGUUUUCGGAUUGUAUUCUCUUGUUACCCGCGACUUAGGGACUGCAGCUUAGACAGGGGGGAGUCAGACGGUCCCUACAGAGGAAGCCCCGCCUAACUAUGUGCCAGCAGCCGCGGUAAUACAUAGGGGGCAAGCGUUGUUUGGAAUUAUUGGGUGUAAAGGCAGGGUAGGCGGCCGGUUAAGUCGAACGUGAAAUCCCUGAGCUCAACUCGGGAAGAACGUCCGAAACUGGCUGGCUAGAAUGCGGGAGAGGGAGGAGGAAUUCCAGGUGUAGCGGUGAAAUGAGUAGAUAUAGGGAGGAACACCGGUGGGGAAGGAGGCAUCCUGUACCGCCAUUGACGGUGAGGCGGGAAAGAUAGGGGAGCAAACGGGAUUAGAUACCCCGGUAGUCCUAGCCCCCAAAACAGAAGGGAAAAUGG